CCUUUCGGGUUGUAUGGUUAAGUGAACUAAGCGUAC
rnacentral:rRNA from 1 species